UACGUAGGUGGCAAGCGUUUGUCCGGAAUUAUUGGGCGUAAAGCGCGCGCAGGCGGUCCUUUAAGUCUGAUGUGAAAGCCCACGGCUCAACCGUGGAGGGUCAUUGGAAACUGGGGGGACUUGAGUGCAGGAGAGAAAAGUGGAAUUCCACGUGUAGCGGUGAAAUGCGUAGAGAUGUGGAGGAACACCAGUGGCGAAGGCGACUUUUUGGCCUGUAACUGACGCUGAGGCGCGAAAGCGUGGGGAGCAAACAGG
rnacentral:rRNA from 1 species